UACGAAGGUGGCAAGCGUUGUUCGGAUUCACUGGGCGUACAGGGUGUGUAGGCGGUUUGGUAAGCCUUCUGUUAAAGCUUCGGGCCCAACCCGGAAAGCGCAGAGGGUACUGCCAGGCUAGAGGACGGGAGAGGAGCGCGGAAUUCCCGGUGUAGCGGUGAAAUGCGUAGAGAUCGGGAGGAAGGCCGGUGGCGAAGGCGGCGCUCUGGAACAUUUCUGACGCUGAGGAGCGAAAGCGUGGGGAGCGAACAGG
rnacentral:rRNA from 1 species